UGUCAGACAUGAGAGAAGCUGGAGAUGCUCAGCCCUAAAGGAAGGAGGCAAAGGCUUCCAGCCAAGAUGUCUUUGAAGUACACAUUUGGAUUACAGGAUAGUCCAGCCCAAUUCUGCCUCCAUAAAUCAACCACAAAGGUUCAACUCUGGAAUGAAAAGAGGAUCUGGAAAAUCAAAUAUUGUCAUGAAAG